rnacentral:rRNA from 1 species
GGUCUUUUGUUUAUAUAAAAGAUCUGGCCUGCCCAAUGAUUAAUUUAAUGGCUGCAGUAUUUUGACUGUACAAAGGUAGCAUAAUCAUUUGUCUCUUAAUUGGAGUCUGGAAUGAAUGGUUGGAUGAAAGAUUUACUUUCUUUAUUUUAUAAAUAAAAUUUGAUUUCUGAAUUAAAAAGUUUAGAUUCUAUUAUAGGACGAGAAGACCCUAUAGAACUUUAUUUCUUUUAAAUUAUUUAUUUAUUUGUAAAUGAUCUUUAUUUAUUUUAAACGGAAUUUUGUUGGGGUGACAAAAAAAAUUAUAUAACUUUUUUUAUUUAUGUCAUUUAUGUAUGAUUAAUUGAUCCUUUACUAUGGAAGAAAGAUUAAGUUACCUUAGGGAUAACAGCGUUAUUGUUUUAGAGAGUUCAUAUUGAUAAAACAGUUUGCGACCUCGAUGUUGGAUUAAAAUUAGUCUUAGGGGCAGAAUACUAAUGACUAGGUCUGUUCGACCUUUAAAUUUUUACA